rnacentral:ncRNA from 1 species
CCUGCUGAAUUAAAGCAUAUUACUAACCAGAGGAAAAGAAACCAACCAGGAUUCCCUCAGUAGUGGCGAGCGAAGACUGC